GCGGAGGAUGGUUGUGAGUGGAGGAUUCAUGCUUCCCCUAUUGAAGAUAAAGUGACUUUUAUGAUUAAGUCAUUUAAUCCUAGGCAUACCUGCUCUAGGAGGAAAGAUAAAAACCUAGAUGCAACUUCAACAUGGAUAACCAAGAAACUUGGUCCACAACUCAAGGUAGAUCCUGAGCUCUCUACUCAAAGAUGCAAGCUUGAGGGUCAUAAUAGGACAUCAUGUACGAGUGGUGCCGUUAGAAGGAAGAGGAAACGAACAUCUAAACAGAACAUGCAGAAUCAAAAUAUAGUGGGCACUCAAACUAAUGUCAAUGUUUCUCAAAGGACUAGAUCACAUAAUGAAGCAACAGACCAAAUGGAUAGUGUUCAAGCAAGGA